AAUGGAAUUGCUGGGUCACAUGGUAAAAUCUGUGUUUAGCAUUUUAAGGAACUGUCAAGUUAUAUUCCAGAGUGGCUAUACCAUUUUGCAUUCCCAUCAGCAAU
rnacentral:pre_miRNA from 1 species